rnacentral:misc_RNA from 1 species
UCUUCUUGAAACCUUUUAUUGACUUUCUAGAUAAUUGAGCAUCUUUGUUGACUUUCUGGAUAUGGUUUUAAAUAAUGGUCGCGGUAAUUUAAACAAAUUUACCUUGCCGUUGCGGAUGUAAUUGUAACGGCCCUUAUUUAAAGGUAACAGCCGCUAUGAACCGUUAAAUAACAAUAGUAUCAGCAGUUACUUUUCCAGUUGAGAAUCUUUGUAAUAUCUUUCAUGUGAAAUUCAUAGAGGGAACCUUCUUUUUUUAAGCACAAAACUAUCUUGACUCAUUCAUUUUGGCACCAUGUCAUUUUUCUGUCUAAGCAAUUAAGCCAUUUUCUCUCAAUUUUCUCCACAAUCAACUAAAAUGAAAUAAUUUAUUUCUCUACAAAUUUUGAGCUCAAGAGCAU